AGGGAGGGAAGCUUAAGCAGAUGGACAAUGUUAAUUUAUCAAACUUGAUUUCCUUUCCACUUACAUUCUCCCUAAGGAUGUUCUGUGCAGUUACAGAAGUUUACAUGACAAGAAAGAUUCCAGCCGGUAUGACUGUUCAGAGAAUCCCUCAAGCUACAUGGAAAAGGAACCCGCUCUUACAUGGUACAUAACAGAUGAAAACCCCCAGCUCAGGAAACAACAUAACUUCACCAUUUUGAGAAGAACUGGACACCGCCACCACCAGAAAAAGACUGCCACUUCCAUUAUUACUUUCCCUGCUAAAGAAAUGGGGUAACUUGCCAGGCUUUUUAACUGUAGUCAUUGUGAUCUGAUGAAAUGGUUGACAGGCAGGAAAAAUUUUUGCUCUCUCUCAAGAGCAGCUUUUGUUUUGAAUCUGGGAUAACACUGGAAAGGUUUCUUCAAACAGACAACACAUCUAUACUUGAAGAGUUUUAUUUCCAUCAGAUUUUCUUUUUCUGUCAAGCCAUAACCUGAAUUUGUAUGCAAAAAGCCUCUCAUAAUGACAUAUUAAGACCUCAUCUUUAGUAUCAGUACGACACUGCAUGUCAAGCCAUUAAAAUUUUCAGUCCCAAUUCUAAAUAAAACAUUUAUUAAAAUUUC